rnacentral:rRNA from 1 species
UACGAAGGGUGCAAGCGUUACUCGGAAUUACUGGGCGUAAAGCGUGCGUAGGCGGUUUGUUAAGUCCGUUGUGAAAGCCCUGGGCUCAACCUGGGAAUUGCAGUGGAUACUGGCGAGCUAGAGUGCGGUAGAGGAUGGUGGAAUUCCCGGUGUAGCGGUGAAAUGCGUAGAGAUCGGGAGGAACACCGGUGGCGAAGGCGGUCAUCUGGGAGGGUACUGACGCUGAGACGCGAAAGCGUGGGUAGCAAACAGG